rnacentral:rRNA from 1 species
ACAGCAGUCGCCACGGUAAAACGGAGGGUGCAAGCGUUAAUCGGAAUUACUGGGCGUAAAGCGCACGCAGGCGGUCUGACAAGUCAGAUGUGAAAUCCCCGGGCUUAACCUGGGAACUGCAUUUGAAACUGUCAGGCUGGAGUCUUGUAGAGGGGGGUAGAAUUCCAGGUGUAGCGGUGAAAUGCGUAGAGAUCUGGAGGAAUACCGGUGGCGAAGGCGGCCCCCUGGACAAAGACUGACGCUCAGGUGCGAAAGCGUGGGGAGCAAACAGGAUUAGAUACCCCAGUAGUCCCUGUCUCUUAUAC